CCUUCCUGCCAACUUUCCUUUUUUUCGGAUGCUAUCUUGCUGGUGUCCACUAUCUGGCCGAACUAAGAGCUUGUCCAGUUGACAUGCCAACCUCACACCUGACGCGACGCUUUGCCGCCUGCCGGUAUUCCGCAGAACCCAGAUCACCCUUUGGGAUACUGGGGUGGGAAGAGUCCUGCCUUCAUCGGGUUCAGACUGGAUGACCUCGAAGGCCCCUUCCAUCUCCUGGGGUCUGUGUAACUUUUCAGCUGCGUACCUCCUGCCCAGACGCUGAGCUUUGUUCUGCCUUCUUUUUCUGAGACAGCCCUGGAUUCCAGUGGCAGACGAGGCUGUCAUUUUGGACGCUGUAGUUCUUAUUUCCCAAUAACCAAGCACCCCAAAGGAGUGGCUUUGAUAAAACAGACAUCCUCAUAAUAAGGACGACACAGACCUUCACCUCAAUUUCGCCUCUCGGCUGGAUGUCGUAGGCACCAUCCUCAAGCAGUGCACAGUAGGUGGCUGAGCUGAUGUGUAUUUUCUGGGCUGGAAAGAGAUCACCAAAAAUACUUUUUUAAUGCAGCUUCAAGUCAAAAAGAGAGGAAUGCAAAUUACCUAUAAUCCUUCUGGCCCAGGAUGCCAGGUGAUACUGAAGGUUCAAUCUGGGGCUUUGGGGUGAUAUUAAACCUCCCAGCUGGGACCAUCUUCCUUGUCUGCUAAGGGAAGAUUUCAUUUACCAAGGCAGACUUUGGUCUUCUCACCCAACAUUGCUGGAGAUUUAGAGAGGCGUUUCAUCAGCCCUCCUCAGAAGCUGGACACCAAGCCUGAGGCUUGCAUGAAAAAUAGGAAUUACCCUAAAACUAAACUAAGCUUUUAGUCCUCGUGAUUCUGAAUAAGGAGGAAUAUAGGCAGUUGGACCAGAGAUCGAAGGUAGCCCUAUUUACAUCAGCUCUCCGGGACCUUAGGUCGAACUGAAGCUGCCCUCAAGGUAUGGAUCUGUCCGAGGGAAGCUCGCUACUCACGCAGACUGGUUGACUCCAUGCGGGAGGCCGUGUUCACCGUGUCGCCAAAGAGGCAGUACCGGGGCAUUUUAUGCCCGACAAUGCCGGCCACGCAGGGCCCUGCGGGAAGUGUGGAAAAGAGAGACGUCGAGACAGACGUGGCAAGUGGGUCCACCCUGGUGCAAAGCAAGGGGUGCUGCUGGGUUGGCUCACCUGUGUGAAUCCCAGCCCGUAACUGCAGCUUGCUGGUAGGCAGGUGGGGAAUUGCAACCUGCCGGACCGCUGCUACCAGAUCCAGGGCCAUCUUGGCGAUCUCGUCGGCGUGCCGGGUGCCGUUCCUCUCGGGCAGGCCGCUCACGACCAUGUAGGCAUCGCCAAUGGUUUCCACCUGGUGGCCCCAAGGAAAGCGAGUGCCACUCAGGAUGAAGUUCCUUCAAAUCCAGGGAGGGCGGACGGCCUGCUGCCCACUUCCCAAAACCCGAGAGAAAUG